UACGGGGGGGGCAAGCGUUGUUCGGAAUUACUGGGCGUAAAGGGCUCGUAGGCGGCCCUCUCAGUCGGAUGUGAAAUCCCCAGGCUUAACCUGGGAACGGCAUCCGAUACUGGAGGGCUUGAAUUCGGGAGAGGGAUGCAGAAUUCCAGGUGUAGCGGUGAAAUGCGUAGAUAUCUGGAGGAAUACCGGUGGCGAAGGCGGCAUCCUGGACCGGCAUUGACGCUGAGGAGCGAAAGCCAGGGGAGCAAACGGG
rnacentral:rRNA from 1 species